UACGGAGGUCUCAAGCGUUGUUCGGAUUCAUUGGGCGUAAAGGGUGUGUAGGUGGCGCCGUAAGUCGGGUGUGAAAUUUCGGAGCUUAACUCCGAAACUGCAUUCGAUACUGCGGUGCUUGAGGACUGGAGAGGAGACUGGAAUUCCUGGUGUAGCAGUGAAAUGCGUAGAUAUCAGGAGGAACACCGAUGGCGAAGGCAGGUCUCUGGGCUGACACUGACGCUGAGGCGCGAAAGCUAGGGUAGCAAACGGG
rnacentral:rRNA from 1 species